rnacentral:rRNA from 1 species
UACGUAGGGCGCAAGCGUUAUCCGGAAUUAUUGGGCGUAAAGAGCUCGUAGGCGGUUUGUCGCGUCUGCCGUGAAAGUCCGGGGCUCAACUCCGGAUCUGCGGUGGGUACGGGCAGACUAGAGUGAUGUAGGGGAGGCUGGAAUUCCUGGUGUAGCGGUGGAAUGCGCAGAUAUCAGGAGGAACACCGAUGGCGAAGGCAGAUCUCUGGGCCGUAACUGACGCUGAGGAGCGAAAGCGUGGGGAGCGAACAGG